rnacentral:rRNA from 1 species
UACGUAGGGACCAAGCGUUGUUCGGAUUUACUGGGCGUAAAGGGCGCGUAGGCGGCAAAUUAAGUCAGCUGUGAAAUCUCCGAGCUUAACUCGGAACUGUCAGCUGAUACUGAUGUGCUAGAGCGCGGAAGGGGCAAUCGGAAUUCUUGGUGUAGCGGUGAAAUGCGUAGAUAUCAAGAGGAACACCUGAGGUGAAGACGGGUUGCUGGGCCGACACUGACGCUGAGUGCGCGAAAGCCAGGGGAGCAAACGGG